rnacentral:lncRNA from 1 species
UGGGGCGUGGGGAGAAGAAGAGAGGAAGAAGAGGGAGAAGAGAAGAAGAAGAAGAAGANNNNNNNNNNNNNNNNNNNNGAAGAAGAGGAGAGAAGAAGAGAAGGGAAAGGAGGAGCUGCGGCUGCGGCGGUGGCAGCUGCAACUGGAAGAGAAGGAGAGGAAGAGAAGGUGAGGAAGAAGAGAAGAAGAAGAAAGGAAGGAGAGGAAGAAGAGAAGGGGAAGAAGGGGUUGCGGCUGCGGCGAUGGCAGCUGCAACUGGAAGAGAAGAAGGAGAGGAAGAUGAGCAGGGGAGGAAGAAGAGGCUGCGGUCGUGGCUGAGGCUGCGACUGUAGCAGUGCAGCUGGGAAAGAAGAGAAGGAAAGGAAGAAGAAGUGAAAGGAAAAGGGAAGAAGGGAGGAAGAGAAGAAGUAGAAGCGGGUAAAGAGGCGGCACCUCUUUUUCCUGCAGGAGGAAACAGAGCAGAGGAGGUGUUGUUCGUCGGGGAGAAGAAGGGGAGGAAGGAGAAGAAGAAGAAAGGAAGGAGAAGGAAGAGGAGAAGGGAAUGAAGUAGCUGCGGCUCCGGCUGUGGCAGCUGCAGCUGUGGCAGGGAAAGAAAAAGAGGAAGGAAGAAGGGAAGGAGAGGAAGAUGAGCAGGGGAGGAAGAAGAGGCUGCGGUCGUGGCUCAGGCUGCGACUGUAGCAGUGCAGCUGGGAAAGAAGAGAAGGAAAGGAAGAAGAAGAGAAAGGAAAAGGGAAGAAGAGAGGAAGAGGAGAAGGGGAGGCAGCUGCGGCAGUGGCAGCUGCAGCUGGAAGAGAAGGAGUGGAAACAUUGCAGGGGAGGAAGAAGAGGCUGCGGCUGUGGUAGUUGCGACCGUGGCUGCGACGUUGGCUGCGGUAGCUGCGGCAGCGGUGGUGGCUGCAGCAGCUGCUUUUGGGAAAGAGAAAGAAAGGAAAGGGGAAAAAAAAAAGGGGCUAUGGCCGUGAUUGCGGCUGCGGUGGUGGCGGCUGCGUCUGCGGCAGUUGUGUUUGGGAAAGAAAAAGCAGGAACGAGAGAAGGGAGGAAGGAAGUAGUGUAGUGGAAGGGGCUGCGGUUGUGACAGCAGCUGCGAUCGUGGCUACGACUGUGGUAGUGGCAGCGGCGAUGGCUGCGACAGCUAUGUUUGAAAAAGAAAACAGAGGAAUGAAAGUAAGAGAGAGCAUGUGACUAUGCCUCUAUGUUCUGCAUGAGCUACAAUUAUGGGGAAAAAAAAAGACGUGUAGAAAACGAAACAAGGAGAGGACACAGAGGAAAAGUAGAAGGAUUUGGGCUGACACCUUCUUUGGAUCUUCGGAUCAAAAUAUUUGAAAGGCAAGUUUCCCGAUCGUUCUCCUGUAAUUGUUCUAAUUUUUCUUAUUGCAAGUAUUAUGAUCUUCCUCGUGCACGUGUUCCGAUCCUUCGUAUUGCAAGCUUUCAAUUCUUUCCUAUUGCAAGUGUCCUGAUCUUUCCUUACUGUAAUUUUAUCUCUACAUUUGCUUUGAAUAUGAGGAACUUUAAAUUUUUCUAGCCUUGCAUUUGAUAUAUCUCCUGUUUAGACGUAACGAUUCAAAUCUGUGUAACUUCUGAGAUUCUGACCUUUCUACUUUGUUAUGGUUAUAACUUCAUGUAUUGAUCUCUGAUUUAGACAAAACUUAUUUGAUCAGAAUAUAGACUCAUAAACCUUUCUUUUGAUAGCUUAUUUUAGGAAUUCAGAGUAAGUUUGCCUGCCCAGUUUUUUGUUGAAACCGACCUUGUGAAUUCUAUAAAAUUGAGAUUUGUUCUUUGAUCUUGGGUUACUAAAUCUAUGGUAACUCCUUGUUUGAAACCUUGAUUCGUACGAAAUUUAUUUCAUCAGAAACUAGAUAGAAAUAUCUUUCCAAUGAUAUAUUUUCUAAGUAAAAUUGGAGCACGAUUGAUAGUUUGAUUCAUUUGUUCAAAUUGCCUCUUGUAUUCUGCCAGAAAUCAAGCUUUGGUCGAUUUCUCAUAUUUUGGUUUCAUUCUUUUGAAAAUUGAUAUCCUUUAGCUUUCUUAUUUAAUUGAGCUUUAUAUUACUGCUUUAAAUACUUGUAUGCUCUUGCCCUACAUGUAUUUGGAUACCUAAAUCUGUUAUGUAAACUUCAUGUUUGUAUCGUAAUGUUUCAUAAAGGCACAUGUACAUUUCAUUGUUCCGCAUGUGCUUUCGAUAUGUCCCAAUUUAUUGUUCACAAUGCCCUUUUGUACUCUGGUGUUUGUGGGAUUAUUUGGACCUUUGCUAGAAAUGGUAAAGGGUAUGUGCUUAGAGCCCGCGAUACUUUAGAUUAUGUUUGGUGGUCAUUCAGAAAUGGAUGGACCAUAUUAUGUUUGGAAUCCCACUUCACCAUCUAUCUGUUUGAUUUGAAAUUCAGAGCCGACCUAGCACUUGGGCAGGGUGAGAGGGCUCGAGUAGGAAAGGGCUACCCGUGGGUGGAGUCAAGAACUCAUCAUGGCGUGGAGCCACCACUGAGUUAAACCUCACAUGCACUAUGCUUGGGUAAGACGUCCGAGCUUUUGUUUCAUAUUUUGUAUUGAUAUGCUCCAAAAUGUUUCCUAUGCCAUUGAUAUACUUCAAAAUGCUUCACAUACCAUUGAUAUGUUCCGAAAUGUUCCAUUUGUCAUUGAUAUUCUGCGGAACAUCUCGUAUGCUAUUGAUAUGCUCCAAUUACUCUAUGCUCCAUUUGUUAUGAACCAAAUAUGUUAUGAAUGAAAUGACAUUUGCGAUUCUGUAUCUAAUGAGAUGAUAUCCUUGAAUCUCUUGGAUUCUGUCUUGCAUUGUGAUUUCUUGUUUGUUUGAAACUGUCCCUUCUCGUGCUAUAUAUGCUUUGUUACUUGUUGAGCUAUUUUAAGCUCACUCCGUUGUUAUAUAAAUCUUUCAGGUCAGCUUGUCACUCUUUAAGAUGUUUGAAUUGGGCUGAGGCCGUGGAGAGCUAUUCUGAAUUAUGGGCAAGUCUUGUUGGUUAUUAUGUUAUUGUUGUAUAAGCAUAUUUUGUAUGUAAUGAAAUGUUGUCGAUGAAUCGAAAUGGAUAUACUAUGUAAAAGUGUUAGAAGA